rfam:Pteropus alecto contig90757, whole genome shotgun sequence.
GACUAUGGCACAACCUGCACAACCCCGAUCCUGUCUGAUCUCGGAAGCUAAGCAGGGUUGGGCCUGGUUAAUACUUGGAUGGGAGACCACCUAGGAAGACCAGGUGCUGUAGGCA